ACGGGCGCCCGGUGCGCAGGCAACGGAUACUUCGACUGUUAAUCGAGUGGUCGCGGGUUCGAAUCCCGCCACCCGUA
rnacentral:tRNA from 1 species